ACGACCUUACUUGAACAGGAUCUGUUCUAUAGGCUCGUACCUCUGUGUCCUUGAUUUCUAAGGAGACAGGAACCUACGGCUGGUGGAUGAAUCAAGACCCUGUGAUCAGAGCGUGAUUAAUGGCCUGAAGGGCUUCUCUUAGGAGGAGGUUCCCAUCUUUGGGCUGUAGAUGAUCGUUCUCAGGCAUUAUGUCUGGGAUGGUCGCACGGUUGUCUGACAGAGC
rfam:Glycine max cultivar Williams 82 chromosome 19, whole genome shotgun sequence.